rnacentral:tRNA from 1 species
UGUAGUCUGGUGUGUUGUAUGCAUGUUAUGUUUUGGUCAUGGAGGUAAUUUGGUAGUUGGCUGCAA